AAAUCCAUAAGCAAUAAACUCAAGCACCAAAAUAAAUAACACAAGUUGAAAUUAAACAAACACAAAGAAAAUCCAAUUUCAAGCAAGGAUUACCAACAAACAAUAUAAAUCAAGAGGCAAACCAAAGUUGGUGAUGGUUCAAACGGUUGGAAAUCCCCCAAAAUCUAUAGAGAAUUUCUAUCAAUCUUGAUGAACAAGAUUGUUAUCACCCACAUAAUAGCAAUGAAAAGAAAGAACA
rnacentral:lncRNA from 1 species